UCCAGUACUUUUAUGGCCAACUGAUUGA
rnacentral:sRNA from 1 species